rnacentral:rRNA from 1 species
AGGGCACCACCAGGAGUGGAGCCUGCGGCUUAGUUUGACUCAACACGGGAAAUCUCACCAGGCCCGGACACCGGAAGGAUUGACAGAUUGAGAGCUCUUUCUUGAUUCGGUGGGUGGUGGUGCAUGGCCGUUCUUAGUUGGUGGAGCGAUUUGUCUGGUUAAUUCCGAUAACGAACGAGACUCUGGCCUACUAACUAGACGUUGGAUCCCUUUGUGGGUCCAUCGCAGCUUCUUAGAGGGACGGGCGGCGUUUAGCCGCACGAGAUUGAGCAAUAACAGGUCUGUGAUGCCCUUAGAUGUUCUGGGCUGCACGCGCGCUACACUGAAGGAAUCAGCGUGUGUUCCCUAUCCGAAAGGAUUGGGAAACCCGUUGAACCUCCUUCGUGAUGGGGAUUGGGGAUUGCAAUUAUUCCCCAUGAACGAGGAAUUCCCAGUAGGCGCGAGUCAUAAGCUUGCGUCGAUUACGUCCCUGCCCUUUGUACACACCGCCCGUCGCUACUACCGAUCGAGUGAUUUAGU